CAAGUCACGGCAGUUGCCAUGAUAGUUAGAGUUUCAGAAGCCAUUCUGUGACCUGGAGCAUGGAAAGAAAGUGCUAAGUGUUACCACAGUCUCCUAUGGAAUGCAUUGACCUCAUGCUAUUCAAGUCCCAGUGAAUCUACACCAGCACCAGAACUUCAGCGAUGUGCCAGUACCCUACAGCCAGUAGUGAUUGGUGCACGGCAGCCCAUAUCUUGAGAGCUUCAUAAAGAGGACAUUCUAAAGGCAGCAGAUUUCUGGACAAGAGGAACCCAGUCAGAGCCUUUUCCGGAGUAUUAAGUAAUGUAGUAAAGUAAAGAUGACCGCACCUGCUUUGACACUCCUCCCAUUGACAAGCUUUGAAUCCCAGCGACACUCAUUCCACAACAUGCUAACCACAUCCUGGUGAUCCCAGCUUCAGAGAGGAGAACAUGGAGACUUGAGUUCACUGUUGCGGUGAAGUCCUGCUCUGGCCCCAGGCAGGAGAAGUCAAGAUCAAAGCUCACAAUGCAAAUAUUAUUCUGAUUAAAACCAAACUUUCUGCUUUUGAUGUGGGCCAACCUCCAUUGCUGGUAGGAACAAGGGAGGAGUAUAGCAAAAAGACACUGGCAGUAAGUAUAAAACCAGGAUGCACUCAAUUUAAAAGACAGAGAGAGAAAGAAAAAAAAAGAGUGAAGAGGAUGGGGGUAGACAAAGAAAGAAAGAGAAAAAGAAGGAAGCA